rnacentral:rRNA from 1 species
UGCCAGCCGCCGCGGUAACACCGGCAGCUCAAGUGGUAGCCGCUUUUAUUGGGCCUAAAGCGUCCGUAGCCGGUCUGAUAAGUCUCUGGUGAAAUCCCACAGCUUAACUGUGGGAAUUGCUGGAGAUACUAUCAUGACUCGAGGUCGGGAGAGGCUGGAGGUACUCCCAGGGUAGGGGUGAAAUCCUGUAAUCCUGGGAGGACCACCUGUGGCGAAGGCGUCCAGCUGGAACGAACCUGACGGUGAGGGACGAAAGCCAGGGGCGCGAACCGGAUUAGAUA